rnacentral:lncRNA from 1 species
GCGACAGACAAGACUGCCUGCCCCCAAGGCUCCUUCCUGCUCUCCUGGCCGUCAAGGCCCUCGGCAAGACUCACUAAUGACGGAACCCGAAUGGCCAGCCCUGUUCCUGAUGCUAGAGACUGCAGAACAGGAGGGUGGGGGAACUGCCAAGAUGCCGAGGCAAUGGGCGCCUGCAUGCAGGAGCACACGUCCCCGGGGUGGGCACAGGCUACCUACAGGCUGAGCUAAGUAGGAAGCAUGCUUUUACAUGGAGCUCUUGGCUCUCCGAGGGUUCCCUCAAGAGGGUUCCCCUGUCUAAGAUUCUGCGGCUCCUCAGAACCGGGGCCAGCUUCCCCAUUAAGCUUCAGCAAGCAGUUGAGAAGGGAGAACAAAGGCAGCCCAGUCUGCCCCCACCCGGAUGGAAGCAUGGGAGGCCGACUACCAUGGGAGUUCAAGCUCCGUCUCCUGCCCAGCUCCGCAGUCCUGUUGAGCUGUUUACACGGACACUGAAGGGAAACCCAGGAUGUAUAGAUUCCCCCCAAGUAAGGGGAACCAGGGGGGUCUCCUCCUGGUCCCACUGCUCUCCUUUGGGCCCCCUUAGGACCCUCAAAAAGGUGAACUCUUCAAGCUUCAGAGGGGAAGGACCAAAACCUAAGCUCCCA